rnacentral:rRNA from 1 species
GACGAACGCUGGCGGCGCGCUUUAUACAUGCAAGUCGAACGUGAAGCUCGGAGCUUGCUCCGGGUGGAAAGUGGCGAACGGGUGAGUAUCACGUGAGAAACCUGCCCCGAAGACCGGGAUAACACCGGGAAACCGGUGCUAAUACCGGAUGCCCUCACCGGAUCGCAUGGUCUGGUAGAGGAAAUGGAUUCCGCUUCGGGAUGGUCUCGCGGCCUAUCAGCUUGUUGGUGGGUAACGGCCCACCAAGGCUUCGACGGGUAGCUGGUCUGAGAGGAUGUCCAGCCACACU